UCCCUUCAAAAAGCACUCCAUGGGCCUUCUUGCAGUGACCCAUAGAGUCGUCAUGAAAGGGUAAACAAAAUGACACUACUUUUGGGUGAAGUGGCAGCUUGUGCUGUUUGGCUUCAAUCAGUGGUGUAACAAUA
ensembl:snoRNA SNORA21 small nucleolar RNA, H/ACA box 21